AGAGUUUAAUCAUGGCUCAGGACGAACGCUGGCGGCGUGCUUAACACAUGCAAGUCGUGGGCGGUCGCAAGACCGACCGGCGAACGGGUGCGUAACACGUGAGCGACCUACCGAUCUGUGGGGGAUAGCCGGCCUAACGGCCGAGUAAUACCGCAUAUACCGCGCGGGCUGCAUGGCCUGUGUGGGAAACCUCCGGGGCAGAUCGAGGGGCUCGCGGCCUAUCAGCUAGUUGGCGGGGUAAUGGCCCACCAAGGCGACGACGGGUAGCUGGUCUGAGAGGAUGGCCAGCCACAUUGGGACUGAGAAACGGCCCAGACUCCUACGGGAGGCAGCAGUGGGGAAUAUUGCGCAAUGGCCGAAAGGCUGACGCAGCGACGCCGCGUGUGGGAUGAAGCCCUUCGGGGUGUAAACCACUGUUGCCCGGGAAGAACGGGCGGAUUUUUCCGCCGUGACGGUACCGGGUGAGGAAGCACCGGCUAACUCCGUGCCAGCAGCCGCGGUAAUACGGAGGGUGCGAGCGUUGUCCGGAAUCACUGGGCGUAAAGGGCGCGUAGGCGGCCGAGUAAGGGGGCGGUGAAAGCCCGGGGCUCAACCCCGGGUCUGCCGGACCGACUGCUUGGCCGGAGCACACUAGAGGCGGGUGGAACUCCGGGUGUAGCGGUGGAAUGCGUAGAGAUCCGGAGGAACACCGGUGGCGAANGCGGCCCGCUGGGGUGUGGCUGACGCUGANGCGCGACAGCGUGGGGAGCAAACAGGAUUAGAUACCCUGGNAGUCCACGCCGUAAACGAUGGGCACUAGGUGCUUGGGGGAGCGACCCCCUGAGUGCCGGCGCUAACGCAUUAAGUGCCCCGNCUGGGGAGUACGGCCGCANGNUGAAACUCNAGGAAUUGACGGGGGCCNNCACNAGCGGNNGAGCAUGNGGUUUAAUCGACGCACGC
rnacentral:rRNA from 1 species